rnacentral:rRNA from 1 species
CCUACGGGAGGCAGCAGUGGGGAAUAUUGCACAAUGGGGGAAACCCUGAUGCAGCGACGCCGCGUGAGUGAAGAAGUACCUCGUUAUGUUAAGCUCUAUCAGCAGGGAAGAAAAUGACGGUACCUGAGUAAGUAGCCACGGCGAACUACGUGCCAGCAGCCGCGGUACUACGUAGGGGGCCAGCGUAAUCCGGAUUUACUGGGUGUAAAGGGAGCGUAGACGGCAGUGCAGGUCUGGAGUGCAAGGCGGGGGCUCAACCCCCGGACUGCUCUGGAAACUGUACGGCUGGAGUGCAGGAGAGGUAAGCGGAAUUCGUGGUGUAGCGGUGAAAUGCGUAGAUAUUAGGAGGAACACCAGUGGCGAAGGCGGCUUACUGGACUGUAACUGACGUUGAGGCUCGAAAGCGUGGGGAGCAAACAGGAUUAGAUACCCGGGUAGUC